UACCAUAUUGUGCAUGCUCUGUGUAAAGUUGAACACAGAGCAUGUACCAUGUGGUGCAUGCA
ensembl:miRNA gmo-mir-11184b gmo-mir-11184b